rnacentral:lncRNA from 1 species
GGCCCGAUCUACAGCGGACGUCCGCACUUUUGCGAAAGUGCGGACGGCGACACAGCAGGCUGAUCCAGGCAGCGACGGCGGCGCGGAGCUUGCCAGACAGAGGCCGGAGGCUUCCCAGACGCGUCUGGACAGCGAUUGAAGUCGGAGCAGGUCGGUGUUGCAGGUUUCUGGGCAGCGACCCGACCUGCAACUGCAACCGGACAUGCAGCGCUGCAACCUCGUCGCCGGCGACUUCAGCCGACUGCAGACAGGUCCGUCCGACCCCUGGCCUCCGUCCGGCAUGCUCCGCCGCUCCGUCGCGCCCCGAGCCGAGCUGCUGCAUCGCCGUCCGCACUUUAGCGAAAGUGCGGACGUCCGCUCUCGAUCCUCUCCG